rnacentral:lncRNA from 1 species
UAAAAUACAAAAUAAUUAAUCAUCCACUGGGUUAUUCAUUUUUACAUGAAAAUAAAAGCGCAUGGGCAUUUUCCAAGGAGCUUCCUCGCACGAAGAAGACCCCGCGUGAUGGAUCCCUGCAUGGGCUUCUGAGGUUUCUAAUUUUCGCCGCCAAACGGGUGGUUGCGGAAGGCUCUCCCCGCCACCGUGAAGUCCUUCAGUAAAAGUGGAUCGACAUGCUUGCGGAAGCUAAUUUGGGCAGGGAGCUUAAAGAUAUAUAUUUUUUUGCCAUAUUCCAGUGGAGAGGAC